UACGUAGGGACCAAGCGUUGUUCGGAUUUACUGGGCGUAAAGGGCGCGUAGGCGGCGCUGUAAGUCACUUGUGAAAUCUCCGGGCUUAACUCGGAACGGUCAAGUGAUACUGCAGUGCUAGAGUGCAGAAAGGGCAAUCGGAAUUCUUGGUGUAGCGGUGAAAUGCGUAGAUAUCAAGAGGAACACCUGAGGCGAAGGCGGGUUGCUAGGCUGACACUGACGCUGACAGCGUGGGGAGCAAACAGG
rnacentral:rRNA from 1 species